rnacentral:rRNA from 1 species
UACAUGGGGUGCAAACGUUGCUCGGAAUUAUUGGGCGUAAAGCGCACGUAGGCGGUUUGUUAAGUCGGAUGUGAAAUCCCUCGGCUCAACUGAGGAAGUGCAUCCGAAACUGGCAGGCUUGAGUACUAAAGAGGGUCGCGGAAUUCCCGGUGUAGAGGUGAAAUUUGUAGAUAUCGGGAGGAACACCGGUGGCGAAGGCGGCGACCUGGGUAGAUACUGACGCUGAGGUGCGAAAGCGUGGGGAGCAAACAGG